rnacentral:rRNA from 1 species
CAAGGAAUUUUCGGCAAUGGGGGCAACCCUGACCGAGCAACGCCGCGUGGCGGAUGACGGCCUUCGGGUUGUAAACGCCUUUUGGGCGGGACGAUGAUGACGGUACCGCCCGAAUCAGGCUCGGCUAACUCUGUGCCAGCAGCCGCGGUAAGACAGAGGAGCCAAGCGUUGUCCGGAUUGACUGGGCGUAAAGCGCACGCAGGCGGGCGCGCGCGUGGGGUGUGAAAUCGGGCCGCUUAACGGCCCGGCGCCAUCCCAUACGGCGCGCCUGGAGCGGUGCAGAGGGCGGUGGAAUUGCCGGUGUAGUGGUGAAAUGCGUAGAGAUCGGCAGGAACACCCAGGGGGAAACCAGCCGCCUGGGCACGCGCUGACGCUGAGGUGCGAGAGCGUGGGGAGCGAACCGGAUUAGAUACCCGCGUAGUCC